UACAGAGGGUGCAAGCGUUGUUCGGAAUCACUGGGCGUAAAGCGCGCGUAGGCGGUUUGUUAAGUGGGAUGUGAAAUCCCCGGGCUUAACCUGGGAAUUGCAUUUCAAACUGGCCGACUAGAGUACGGUAGAGGGAGGUAGAAUUUCCUGUGUAGCGGUGAAAUGCGUAGAUAUAGGAAGGAAUACCAGUGGCGAAGGCGGCCUCCUGGAUCGAUACUGACGCUGAGGCGCGGAAGCGUGGGGAGCAAACAGG
rnacentral:rRNA from 1 species